GAUGAACGCUAGCUACAGGCUUAACACAUGCAAGUCGAGGGGAAACGACAUUGAAGCUUGCUUCGAUGGGCGUCGACCGGCGCACGGGUGAGUAACGCGUAUCCAACCUGCCUCUGACUAAGGGAUAACCCGGCGAAAGUCGGACUAAUACCUUAUGAGGUUUUCUGCAGACAUCUAACGAAAACGAAAGAUUUAUCGGUCAGCGAUGGGGAUGCGUCUGAUUAGCUUGUUGGCGGGGUAACGGCCCACCAAGGCAACGAUCAGUAGGGGUUCUGAGAGGAAGGUCCCCCACAUUGGAACUGAGACACGGUCCAAACUCCUACGGGAGGCAGCAGUGAGGAAUAUUGGUCAAUGGGCGAGAGCCUGAACCAGCCAAGUAGCGUGCAGGAAGACGGCCCUAUGGGUUGUAAACUGCUUUUAUGUGGGGAUAAAGUGAGCUACGUGUAGUUUAUUGCAGGUACCACAUGAAUAAGGACCGGCUAAUUCCGUGCCAGCCGCCGCAGUAAGAC
rnacentral:rRNA from 1 species